GAGAGGUCUAGAAGACUUGCUAACUCUUCAACCUGGGAUUAACGCCAGCCCUCUCU
rnacentral:tRNA from 1 species